CACGUAGGGCGCAAGCGUUGUCCGGAAUUAUUGGGCGUAAAGAGCUCGUAGGCGGACUGUCACGUCUGCUGUGAAAAGCUGGGGCUUAACCCUGGCCUUGCAGUGGAUACGGGCAGACUAGAGGUAGGUAGGGGAGAAUGGAAUUCCCGGUGUAGCGGUGAAAUGCGCAGAUAUCGGGAGGAACACCGGUGGCGAAGGCGGUUCUCUGGGCCUUACCUGACGCUGAGGAGCGAAAGCGUGGGGAGCGAACAGG
rnacentral:rRNA from 3 species